UGGAAGCUGCUCUAAGUGUCUUCUUCAGAAGUUUUUGUGUCAUUUUCUUCAGUUGUUCUUGGUGUAGCGCUACCACAGGUGAGGACGGGAACAUGUUUUUCAAAGGGUUUGGUUGGUUUGACACAGUGCAGUGUGAAAGCGAACCGCAGCAGCUGAAAAUGUAACACAUGUUGCCAUUUUGGUCCUCAAUUGAAUCAAGUCUACUAGACUAUCAGGUGUAAAAACAACUUCAGAAACGGUAAGAAUUUUGUUGAUCU